CAGUAACGGCGAGUGAAGCGGCAACAGCUCAAAUUUGAAAUCUGGCCCCCCGCGGGCCCGAGUUGUACUUUGGAGAGGACGCUUCUGGCGCGGCGCCGUCCGAGUUCCCUGGAACGGGACGCCGGAGAGGGUGAGAGCCCCGUACGGGCGGCCGCCUAGCCUCUGCGAAGCUCCUUCGACGAGUCGAGUAGUUUGGGAAUGCUGCUCAAAAUGGGAGGUAAAUUUCUUCUAAAGCUAAAUACCGGCCAGAGACCGAUAGCGCACAAGUAGAGUGAUCGAAAGAUGAAAAGCACUUUGAAAAGAGGGUCAAACAGUACGUGAAAUUGUUGAAAGGGAAGCGCCUGUGGCCAGACUUGCGCCCCGCGGACCACCCGGCGCCUCGCGCGCCGGGGCACGCCAGCGGGGCGCAGGCCAGCAUCGGCUCUCUCGGGGGGACAAAGGCCGCGGGAACGUAGCGCCCUCGCGGCGUAUUAUAGCCCGCGGCGCCAUGCCCCCGGGGGGGCCGAGGACCGCGCUCCGGCAAGGAUGCUGGCGUAAUGGCCACCGGCGACCCGUCUUGAAACACGGACCAAGGAGUCAAGCAUUGGGGCGAGUGUCUGGGUGGCAAGCCCGCACGCGGAAUGAAAGUGAACGCAGGUGGGAGCUUCGGCGCACCACCGACCGAUCCUGAUGUCCUCGGAUGGAUUUGAGUAGGAGCCCCGCCGCUUGGACCCGAAAGAUGGUGAACUAUGCCUGUAUAGGGUGAAGCCAGAGGAAACUCUGGUGGAGGCCCGCAGCGGUUCUGACGUGCAAAUCGAUCGUC
rnacentral:rRNA from 1 species